CACCUUGCACAAUUGCCUUGUUAAACCUCAUGAGAUUCCUAUGGGCCCUCUCCUAGAGUUUGUCCAGGACCCUCUGGAUGGUGUCAGGUACAUUCAGCUUGGUGUCAUCUGCAAAUUUGUUGAUGAUGCAUUUUAUCCUUCUCUCUAUGUCAUUAAUGAAGAUACUGGUACAGACCUUGAGAGUUACCACUUGUCUCUGCUGUCCAUUGGAGCUGAGCCAUUGACCGUGACCCUCUGAAUGCGACCCUCCAACCACUUCCUAAUCCACACAGCAGUUCACCCAUCAAAUCCCUCCAAUUUGGAGAGAAUAUUGUCGGGGACUGUGUCAAAGGUUUUACUGAAAUCCAUAAAAAUAAUGUCUAUAACCUUCCCUUACCCACUGAUGCAGUCACCCCAUCAUUGACAGCCACUGCCUUGGUCAGACAGGACCUGUGUUUCCUGCAGCCACGCAAUUACAUCAGCCAAUUCCCUCAGGACUCGGGGGUGCAUCUCCUUGGGUACAUUCAGGUUCCUCAGGUGGUCACAAAUCUCAUUGUCUCCUACAGUGGGAAGGACUUGGCUCUCCCAGUCCUCAUCCUGUUAUCCAUCCAGUCAAGAGGUGUGGGAAGUUUCCCAUUGAAGACUAAGGCAGAAGCUGUUAAGUACCUCAGCCUUCUCUUUGUCUGUUGUUACCAGUUCUCCAGUUUUCCAGUGCUGUUUAUCAGAGGGGUUACCCCUUCUUUGACCUUCUUUUUCUGGUUAAUGUACCUGUAGAAGCCCUUCUCAUUAUUCUUUGUGUCACUUGCCAGGUUCAGUUCCAGUUUUGUCACCUUGGCCUUUCUCAUCCCUUCCUACACAACUGUGCUUCAUCUCUAAACUCUUUCUAGGUUGCCUGUCCUGGUUGCCACUACCUGUGCAUUUGCUUCUUUCCCUUAAUUUUGACCAGCAAGUUCCUACUCAGCCAUGUCAGUCUCUUGCCCUCCUUGUCUGAUUUUUUGCUCCUGGGGAUUGUCAGCUCUUGUGCUCUAUGGAAGAGCUGCUUAAAGAUCUGCCAGCUCUCAUCUACUCUCUUGUCCCUGAGGGCAGUCUGUCAGGGGAUCCCACUGACUAGGUUCCCAAAGGACUGGAAGUCUACUUUCCUAAAGUCCAAGAGCUGAACUUUCACUCCUGACCUAAGCCCUAUCCCUCAUGCACGCUCCACCAGUGCAUGAUCCCUGCAGCCCAGGCUGCCUGCAUUCCUGGUGUCCCAGUUAGCUCGCUUGUAUUGUGACCAACAGAUCCUGUAACACAUUCCCUCCAGCAGGGCUGUCUGUCACCUGGCUCAGGCAGUUAUCCUCCACACAUUCCAGCAGUCUCCUGCAUUGCCACAGCUCUCCAAGCUGCUUUUACAACAACUGCUGGGGUGGCUGAGAUCCCCCUGCAGGACACAACCCCCGGGCACAAUGCCUCCUGUGCUGGAGCAGGAAGGUUUGGUCAAGGGGCUCCCCUUGGCCAGGCGGCUGUAGCAGACCCCAGCCAAAGGCUCCUUUUGCUGCCUCGCUCUCUGACUCCUACCCACAGGCUUUCCACCUGCUCAUGGAUAUUCUUCAGGGACAGCUUUUCACACUGUCUAGUUUUUGGCUUGUGGCAUCAUUUGUACUUACUUGAGAAAGGAGUACCAGGCUGUGGUCCAUGCUUUUGACAUGGGCUACCCUCUUGGCAGCAUCAUGGAUUUUAGUCCCUGGUAGGCAGCAUUACCUCUUGAGACUGUCAGGACAGCAUGAUAUUGUGAUUUGAAUGUUCAUGCUGCCUUCCCAAAGCAGUAAUUUGGAGAUAAAGUUUAUUUAAGGGUUGGUAUUUAAAUAGCCAUAUAUUUCUGCAUGUAUUAAAACUCAGCUCUUGAAGAAUCUAAACAUAAUCAUGUGUACCUUUCUUACAUUAACAGUGGAAGUUGCACUCAGUCAUAAUUGAACCAGUAGCAGUAGUUAACAAUAGUUUAUUCGUUUGGUUGUAUAUCUUUUGUACUCAGUUCUUCCAAUCUUUUAAUCAUUUAUAGAGGCAUAUUAAAGGUUGAUGCCUAGUCUAAAUUGCAAUCUAAAAUUCUCUUUGGAGCGAUUUGCUUGUACCAAGUAGCAGCAGCUCCUACCUCUGUGAGCAGGCCAAUCAGUCAGGGGCUGCAGACUGAGAGCCGCCUGGCUUCAGCAGGUACCCAGGCCUGGGCACACUUGGAACAAGCCUGCAUGCACAGCUCGAGGCACAGCAGGAAGGCUAAAGCAUGGUACUGCAGGACUGCUGCGUGGGUUUUGCUGAGAUAGUUAGCACCUGUAUCAAAGUCUAGUUUAAGGAGUGGGAGGUGAGGGUUAUUUACUUAAAUUAGCAAGGUUUCAAAUGCAACAGAACACUCAGAAACAGGAAAAAAAUAACAACUACCAACUCACAUAUGCUACCAUAAAGAGAAAUUGGAGUGUCAUUUUAUUAACUUUAAUCAUGCUGAAGGUACUGAACUGCAAAAAGACUACAAAAAUACUGUGGUCUGCUACAAGCUAUAAGACUAGUGCUGGCAACUCGGACAUAAAGGAUUGUUUAGCAAGAGCAAGGACAAACAGAAGCUCAUAUACCUGCCUUUGUGAGGAGACAACUGGAGUUUCAGGGUGGCUGUGGACGCACUUUGGGUUCUGAGCUCUCGACAUCAAUUCUCAACUCCAGCUGAGCCACUCGUGUGAAAAUGGCCUGACCCUCUCAUUGCAGUCAGUCUUGAUGACAGGGAAGAACCUGCUGGCAAAGAGGCAGACAAUGGAUAUGUGGAGACAAAUGGCCAUUUCACUGGAGUACACCAUCUUAGGCUGCCAGUACCCCUUUGACCUUGCAUAUACCUUGUGAUCUCUUUGCAGAAAUUCCAGUCAUGCCAGUACAUGUAUGGAAGACCCAAGGAGACUGAGGUGAUACCAUUAUAGCACAGGAUGUAACAAGGCAAAGAAAUAGGCAUCUUUAGGAAUGAUGGCAAAAAUAGAAAAAAUUUUGAAGUGGUCACUAGACAAAUCAGAACAAAAAAAUGUAUGUGUUACUUAGACUUUUGUGACAUAUGUCAUAGUCUCUGUGUUUCCCAUAUGAAAACAUAUUUCUCACAGCCCUAGGUGUGAGAAAGGAUGGUUUCUCCAUUUACAUUUACAGUCAAGAUGAGAAGUGUGAUUUUGACAUCUUUGGAUGUAUGUGUAUAUACUUAAGGGGGUUUUUAGUUCUUUUGUGGAGUUCUAAAUAAAAAAUAUUGUGCUUUA